rnacentral:misc_RNA from 1 species
CUUGGUCCUAGAGGAAGUAAAAGUCGUAACAAGGUCUCCGUAGGUGAACCUGCGGAGGGAUCAUUAGAAAUGCUUGUUUUUUUCAUUUAGUGGACGUGUUCUUUGAAUGCGCUCACCGAAUGGAAACAUCAUUUCCUGGCUUUUGUCGUCCCUCGUCCAGCCUCACGGCCGGGCUUGGGUGGCAAUUGCCGGAUAAUCGGGAAGAGGCCUUGUGCUUCGACCCACUAUCUACACCUUUUUAGUCUGAACCUCUUCAGCGAAAGUGAGAGCAAUCUUACUUUCAAUGAUAAAAAUUAAAAUUAAAACAACUUUCAACAAUGGAUCCCUCGAUUCUCC